rnacentral:rRNA from 1 species
UACGAAGGGGGCUAGCGUUGCUCGGAAUCACUGGGCGUAAAGCGCACGUAGGCGGAUCUUUAAGUCAGGGGUGAAAUCCUGGAGCUCAACUCCAGAACUGCCUUUGAUACUGGGGAUCUCGAGUCCGGGAGAGGUGAGUGGAACUGGCGAGUGUAGAGGUGAAAAUUCGUAGAUAUUCGCAAGAACACCAGUGGCGAAGGCGGACUCGACU